CUAGGAAUAUUGCGCAAUGGGCGAAAGCCUGACGCAGCAACGCCGCGUGCGGGAUGAAGGCCUUCGGGUCGUAAACCGCUUUUAGCAGGAACGAUAAUGACGGUACCUGCAGAAAAAGCACCGGCUAACUACGUGCCAGCAGCCGCGGUAAUACGUAGGGUGCAAGCGUUGUCCGGAUUUAUUGGGCGUAAAGAGCUCGUAGGUGGCACUGUAGGUCAGAAGUAAAAACGCAAGGCUCAACCUUGCGUCGCUUUUGAAACCGCAGAGCUUGAGUAUGGCAGGGGAGAAGGGAAUUCCACGUGUAGCGGUGAAAUGCGCAGAUAUGUGGAGGAACACCAGUGGCGAAGGCGCUUCUCUGGGCCAUUACUGACACUGAGGAGCGAAAGCGUGGGGAGCGAACAGGAUUAGAUACCCCGGUAGUCC
rnacentral:rRNA from 1 species